rnacentral:rRNA from 1 species
AGAGUUUGAUCCUGGCUCAGGAUGAACGCUAGCGGCAGGCCUAACACAUGCAAGUCGAACGGUAACAUGAGAGCUUGCUCUUGAUGACGAGUGGCGCACGGGUGCGUAACGCGUAUGCAACCUACCUUUUACUGAGGGAUAGCCCAGAGAAAUUUGGAUUAAUACCUCAUAGUAUCAUAAAUGUUCAUGCAUUAAUGAUUAAAACUUCGGUGGUAAAAGAUGGGCAUGCGUAAGAUUAGCUAGUUGGUAAGGUAACGGCUUACCAAGGCGACGAUCUUUAGGGGGCCUGAGAGGGUGGUCCCCCACACUGGUACUGAGACACGGACCAGACUCCUACGGGAGGCAGCAGUGAGGAAUAUUGGUCAAUGGACGAAAGUCUGAACCAGCCAUGCCGCGUGAAGGAAGAAGGUGUUCUGCAUCGUAAACUUCUUUUAUAUAGGAAGAAACUUCUCUACGUGUAGAGAACUGACGGUACUAUAUGAAUAAGGACCGGCUAACUCCGUGCCAGCAGCCGCGGUAAUACGGAGGGUCCAAGCGUUAUCCGGAUUUAUUGGGUUUAAAGGGUCCGUAGGCGGAUUUUUAAGUCAGUGGUGAAAGCCUGCAGCUCAACUGCAGAACUGCCAUUGAUACUGGAAAUCUUGAGUGUAUUUGAAGUGGGCGGAAUGUGUCAUGUAGCGGUGAAAUGCAUAGAUAUGACACAGAACACCGAUUGCGAAGGCAGCUCACUAAACUACAACUGACGCUGAGGGACGAAAGCGUGGGGAGCGAACAGGAUUAGAUACCCUGGUAGUCCACGCCGUAAACGAUCAUCACUCGCUGUUGGCGAUACACAGUCAGCGGCCAAGCGAAAGCAUUAAGUGAUGCACCUGGGAAGUACGGUCGCAAGAUUGAAACUCAAAGGAAUUGACGGGGGCCCGCACAAGCGGU